rnacentral:sRNA from 1 species
GUCAGCAACCCGUACUGAAGUAAAGGGGCUAUGGGCGGAGCGCAGGCUACGCGAAGUAAUGCCUCACCUUCAGCAUUAGUUGACCAGCCUAAGUCUUAAUUGACUACGUUUUUUGAGUCAUGACACCCUGUGGAUGCGUAGCUAGUCCCAGGCUCUGUC